rnacentral:rRNA from 1 species
GACGAACGCUGGCAGCGCGCCUAACACAUGCAAGUCGAACGAGCGAGAGAGAGCUUGCUUUCUUGAGCGAGUGGCGAACGGGUGAGUAACGCGUGAGGAACCUGCCUCAAAGAAGGGGACAACAGUUGGAAACGACUGCUAAUACCGCAUAAGCCCACGGGUCGGCAUCGACCAGAGGGAAAAGGAGCAAUCCGCUUUGAGAUGGCCUCGCGUCCGAUUAGCUAGUUGGUGAGGUAAUGGCCCACCAAGGCGACGAUCGGUAGCCGGACUGAGAGGUUGAACGGCCACAUUGGGACUGAGACACGGCCCAGACUCCUACGGGAGGCAGCAGUGGGGAAUAUUGCACAAUGGGGGAAACCCUGAUGCAGCGACGCCGCGUGGAGGAAGAAGGUCUUCGGAUUGUAAACUCCUGUUGUUGGGGAAGAUAAUGACGGUACCCAACAAGGAAGUGACGGCUAACUACGUGCCAGCAGCCGCGGUAAAACGUAGGUCACAAGCGUUGUCCGGAAUUACUGGGUGUAAAGGGAGCGCAGGCGGGAAGACAAGUUGGAAGUGAAAUCUAUGGGCUCAACCCAUAAACUGCUUUCAAAACUGUUUUUCUUGAGUAGUGCAGAGGUAGGCGGAAUUCCCGGUGUAGCGGUGGAAUGCGUAGAUAUCGGGAGGAACACCAGUGGCGAAGGCGGCCUACUGGGCACCAACUGACGCUGAGGCUCGAAAGUGUGGGUAGCAAACAGGAUUAGAUACCCUGGUAGUCCACACCGUAAACGAUGAUUACUAGGUGUUGGAGGAUUGACCCCUUCAGUGCCGCAGUUAACACAAUAAGUAAUCCACCUGGGGAGUACGACCGCAAGGUUGAAACUCAAAGGAAUUGACGGGGGCCCGCACAAGCAGUGGAGUAUGUGGUUUAAUUCGACGCAACGCGAAGAACCUUACCAAGUCUUGACAUCCCUUGACAGGCAUAGAAAUAUGUUUUCUCUUCGGAGCAAGGAGACAGGUGGUGCAUGGUUGUCGUCAGCUCGUGUCGUGAGAUGUUGGGUUAAGUCCCGCAACGAGCGCAACCCUUAUGGUCAGUUACUACGCAAGAGGACUCUGGCCAGACUGCCGUUGACAAAACGGAGGAAGGUGGGGAUGACGUCAAAUCAUCAUGCCCUUUAUGACUUGGGCUACACACGUACUACAAUGGCGUUAAACAAAGAGAAGCAAGACCGCGAGGUGGAGCAAAACUCAGAAACAACGUCCCAGUUCGGACUGCAGGCUGCAACUCGCCUGCACGAAGUCGGAAUUGCUAGUAAUCGUGGAUCAGCAUGCCACGGUGAAUACGUUCCCGGGCCUU